rnacentral:rRNA from 1 species
UACAGAGGGUGCAAGCGUUAAUCGGAUUUACUGGGCGUAAAGCGUGAGUAGGUGGCUCGCUAAGUCGAUUGUGAAAGCCCUGGGCUCAACCUGGGAAUUGCAGUCGAUACUGGAGAGCUAGAGUUCGGUAGAGGGUGACGGAAUUCCCGGUGUAGCGGUGAAAUGCGUAGAUAUCGGGAAGAACAUCGAUGGCGAAGGCAAUCACCUGGGCCUGAACUGACACUGAGACACGAAAAGCGUGGGUAGCAAACAGG